UUGGUUAAGUUAGAAAGGGCGCACGGUGGAUGCCUUGGCACUAGGAGCCGAAGAAGGACGGGACUAACACCGAUAUGCUUUGGGGAGCUGUACGUAAGCGUUGAUCCAGAGAUUUCCGAAUGGGGGAACCCACUAUCUUUAGUCGGAUAGUAUCCUUACGUGAAUACAUAGCGUGAGGAAGGCAGACCCAGGGAACUGAAACAUCUAAGUACCUGGAGGAAGAGAAAGAAAAAUCGAUUUCCUGAGUAGCGGCGAGCGAAACGGAAAGAGCCCAAACCAAGAAGCUUGCUUCUUGGGGUUGUAGGACACUCUAUACGGAGUUACAAAAGAAAGUUAUAAAUGAAGCGGUCUGGAAAGGCCCGCCAAAGACGGUAACAGCCCGGUAGUUGAAAUGGCUUUCCCUCCAGAGUGGAUCCUGAGUACGGCGGAACACGUGAAAUUCCGUCGGAAUCCGGGAGGACCAUCUCCCAAGGCUAAAUACUCCCUAGUGACCGAUAGUGAACCAGUACCGUGAGGGAAAGGUGAAAAGCACCCCGGAAGGGGAGUGAAACAGUUCCUGAAACCGUGUGCCUACAAGUAGUUAGAGCCCGUUAAUGGGUGAUAGCGUGCCUUUUGUAGAAUGAACCGGCGAGUUACGAUUUGUUGCAAGGUUAAGCGGAAAAAGCGGAGCCGUAGCGAAAGCGAGUCUGAAUAGGGCGCAUAAGUAACAGGUCGUAGACCCGAAACCAGGUGAUCUACCCAUGUCCAGGAUGAAGGUAAGGUAAUACUUACUGGAGGUCCGAACCCACGCACGUUGAAAAGUGCGGGGAUGAGGUGUGGGUAGCGGAGAAAUUCCAAUCGAACUUGGAGAUAGCUGGUUCUCUCCGAAAUAGCUUUAGGGCUAGCCUCGAGGUAAAGAGUCAUGGAGGUAGAGCACUGUUUGGACUAGGGGCCCUUCUCGGGUUACCGAAUUCAGAUAAACUCCGAAUGCCAUGUACUUAUACUCGGGAGUCAGACUGCGAGUGAUAAGAUCCGUAGUCGAAAGGGAAACAGCCCAGACCACCAGUUAAGGUCCCCAAAUAUAUGUUAAGUGGAAAAGGAUGUGGGGUUGCUUAGACAACCAGGAUGUUGGCUUAGAAGCAGCCACCAUUGAAAGAGUGCGUAAUAGCUCACUGGUCGAGUGACCCCGCGCCGAAAAUGUACCGGGGCUAAACAUAUUACCGAAACUGUGGAUGAACCUCUUUAGAGGUUCGUGGUAGGAGAGCGUUCUAAGGGCGGUGAAGUCAGACCGGAAGGACUGGUGGAGCGCUUAGAAGUGAGAAUGCCGGUAUGAGUAGCGAAAGAAGGGUGAGAAUCCCUUCCACCGAAUAUCUAAGGUUUCCUGAGGAAGGCUCGUCCGCUCAGGGUUAGUCGGGACCUAAGCCGAGGCCGAUAGGCGUAGGCGAUGGACAACAGGUAGAGAUUCCUGUACCAGUGCUAAUUGUUUAACCGAUGGGGUGACACAGAAGGAUAGGGAAUCGCACGAAUGGAAAUGUGCGUCCAAGCAGUGAGUGUGAGAAGUAGGCAAAUCCGCUUCUCGCGAAGCAUGAGCUGUGAUGGGGAAGGAAAUUAAGUACGGAAGUUCCUGAUUUCACGCUGUCAAGAAAAGCCUCUAGGAAGAGUAGUACUGCCCGUACCGCAAACCGACACAGGUAGAUGAGGAGAGAAUCCUAAGGUGAGCGAGAGAACUCUCGUUAAGGAACUCGGCAAAAUGACCCCGUAACUUCGGGAGAAGGGGUGCUCUAUUAGGGUGCAAGCCCGAGAGAGCCGCAGUGAAUAGGCCCAGGCGACUGUUUAGCAAAAACACAGGUCUCUGCAAAACCGUAAGGUGACGUAUAGGGGCUGACGCCUGCCCGGUGCUGGAAGGUUAAGAGGAG
rnacentral:rRNA from 1 species